rnacentral:rRNA from 1 species
ACUCCUACGGGAGGCAGCAGUAGGGAAUAUUGGGCAAUGGAUGCAAGUCUGACCCAGCCAUGCCGCGUGCCGGAUGAAGGCCCUCAGGGUUGUAAACGGCUUUUAUUCGGGAAGAAGAGCAGGGAUGCGUCCUUGUGUGACG